CUAGGUGGCGAAGAUAUUUUGACUUCCCACAUCUUCACGUAAACAGCUUGCUAUCACUGAAGAAUCUCUAGUUGUACGUGGAACGGCGAUCACUUUGAAGAAAUGAAGUGCAAGUGUUGUGUAGUUCGAUGGAUACAUGCAUGUGGAUAUGGAGACUCAACAAAUUUGACGUUGCUGUUUAAGUUAAAUAUUAUUCCCCCUUCCCCCCCCCCCCCCCCCCCCCCCCCCCCCAAAAAAAAAUUAAAAAAUUGUUGUUCAGGUCGCUUGGACCUAAUGUUUACAAUUUGAUGUAGACUUGAUUGACAUCAUCAUGUAAGUUAUUUGUACUUCUCUUCCCCCAUUUGUUGUUACUGAUCACUUUGUACUCAACAAUUUAAUGUAUGUGGGAAUUGGAGAUUAGAUUGAUGUCUUAAUGUAUUUUACUGCUUUUCUCAUUUCAAGAAGGCCAAAAUGGAGGCAUUAAUAACUAGUAAGUAGAGCGACACAGAACAAUUUUACACAGGUGUGCUGGUGUAUAGUAUGCACAUGAUUUAAUUUCUUGGCCGGUGCUGGCUAGAAUGAGUUCUUAUAUGUCUUCUGCCGCCCUCUAUCAGUCCUGGACGAUCCAAUGUGUUUCAAGGAAUGAAUCAGUAGGUGGUUCCAUUGUCCAGUUGCUGUGAAACUCACUUGGAUGAAACACUCUCUUCUUCACUGUCCACAGACUUUACACCUGAUUCAGAUCAUCGCUGCUAAGUAUAAGUUCUCCUUCAGAUCAGAUAGUAUGCUCCCAGUAGCUUAUUCUUUAUCAGCAGCCUGCUGCUUGCAACAGAUGGGCAAAACACUAAAUUGAGUCUUUCAUUCGGAAUGAAAUUGAAGUGGAUUAUCUGGAGGUAUUAGGGAAUAUAACAAGCUUUGCUGAUUGAGCUACAAGCGGGUUCGCUGAAGGGAAUACUUUCUGUCUUUUUAUUGGACUUUGGUCAGAAAGGCAACUGGUGAACCAACUGCUCCAGAUUAAAAGAUGUGCGGAGAUGGCUCUUAGAUUGCGAUAUUUCAAGAAACAAGUUUUGACUCCACCAAGUCUUUCUCUUGGAAUAUUGAAAUCAAAGUGGAUUAUCUGGAGUUGAAACUUGCGCGAGCUAGAAGCUGUUCAUUGUGAUUUCUGAGAUGAAUUUAAGCAAUGAUAAGUUAUAGUGCACUUAUAAGGAGCUUUCUAAGUAUAAACUACAGGAGGCUGGAGAUUUCUUACAUUCAGCUCAAAGUAGCGCGGCUUCUAGCAAAAUGAAGAGUCGUUGGACACACCUUUAUUUUUGGAACAAGGUUGGAGAAUUCUUCUAUCCAGCUCAAAGAAGUGCGCCUUUUUAGUAUGGAGAACUGGAACAACAAAAUGCAGAGAAUACUUAAUUUGGUCAUAUGCGUUGUACUUUUCAUGUCUUCUAUCCUUUUUUAUACCUUUUCAUAAAUUUCAAUUAAUAUGUGUUUAGGACAAGUCGAUUGAUCCAUCAAAGUCUGUGUAGCUGGGGGUUCUUUGCAGGCUUGGUACCCAUAGAGAAAUCUAUGGCAUUUGAAAGGAUCUUGCUUCAUGCAACUAGGGAUAAUGUUUUUAUAAGGCAGACUAGAGUAGAGAAUCCUGUGAUGGAUUGUUUUAGACUAACAUUUGUUUUAUUCAUGUUCUAUUGUUGAUGCUUUUGGACUUACUUCUGUCUUCUUUCAGAUUUUAUCUAACUCAGUUCUUUGUUACUACUGACAUUUCUUACAGUUCAGGAAGAAAGUAAAAGGUAAGAAGAAAAAUGCCGAUGAAGUAGUGGAAGGUGCAGUGGGAAGUCUCUGUCUCAGCUCCGAUGUACCCUCUUUACUCUUUUCAGUCAAGAAAGUGGUCAGAACUGUUUAUGCGGUGGUUGGAGCCUCAUGCGUGAACCCUAAACCCUAACCAAGAUGGGUCUAAAAAGGUUUUGUCUUUAUGCCCUUCUCUUGUGAUUUUCCUGGUUUUUGCUCAUUUCUCUCUUUUUUUUUUUGCAUCUUGAUAGUGUUUUUCUUCAGGGUCAUUGUUUUGUUGUUUUUACAGGUCAUCUUUCAUUUACAAUUGUUUUUCUUUUUUUGUUGCUUUGGUUGCUAUUUGGAUGUUUGAGGUGCGCUGGGCUUGGGUCUUCUUCUUCAUUGUUGUUUAGGGUUUUGGAUGUUUGAGUUUGGGCGUAGAUUGUUCUGGGUGGAUGUUUGGGGUUUUACUGAGUUGCUUUCUGAAAGUUAUGAAGAUAUG